ACCGCGGCAGAUUUUCUUUAGUCAUCUAUAAAACGUCGAUAAUAAAAUCGUUCUCUAUCAACAACAACACGCUAUAAAUCACAUAACGAAGGAACAUGUAAAUAAAUGAUAAAAUAGAAAAUAUAUAACAAGGUAGAUUUUCUUUAGUCACCCAUAAAACGACGAUACUAAAACCGUUCUCUAUUAAAAACAACACGCUAUAGGUCACAUAAUGAAGGAACAUGUUGAAUAAAUGAUAAAAUAGAAAAAAAUGUAACACGGUGGAUUUUCUUUAGUCACCCAUAAAACGUCGCCACUAAAACCGUUCUCUCUAAACAGUGACCUCUCUCCUCCUUUCAGUAGUAGACUAACACAAGAUAAUAAUACACAUAAUAACAGUAAUAAUGACAAAAGAAAAUAAUGAUAAAAUAAUGAAACUUUUAUAAAACAAAUGACUAGCUUUUAGCAGACACAAGAGCCCACUUUUAACACAUCACAAUUCUUUCCUUCCCUUGUUCUCCUUUUAUUCCUUCUCUCAAUCAGACAUACAGAUACGUUAGUCCUCGUCGGCACCCUCUUCAUAGGCCCUGACAAAGCCCAUGGUACCUCUGCGAAUGGACUAAAUUAGGUUACCGACUCUGGGCCACGACAACCCGUCUCUAGGGUACACGAAGUCUUGGGUGUGAAAUGUCGAUGUGAAAGGGUCGCGCAUGGUCGGAAAGAGGUCUAGAAACGACCGCCGGAUGCUGAGUCGGUACAGUGUGAAGGGGGCCUAAUAAAAGUCGCUGGGUUGUCGUGGCCCAGAGUCCGCACAGUGUGAAUUAAGGGACUAACUCGUCCCAUGUUCUCAAACGGUUCGGGGCUUACACACCCACACUUGAUAAAGCUUCCGUAGAGGCUGUGUUAGUAUGUCCAUGGAUAGCUUUGUGAGCCUAGUGAUAGUCUAAUAAGGCUUCUACACCAUGGACGUGGAAAAUAGUCACGAGAACCCGACUAAUCUCCCUUGUGGCCUUGGACAUUAUUGUUGUGACAGCCGAAAGCGUUUGAGAAUAGGAGCCGAAAUCUUUAAACAACGAAACCGAACGAGAGUAAGACUCAGUAAGUGCACAUCUAACACGAAGACAAAACACAUAACACCCUCUAAAACGCCAUCAAAUCCCAGGACAAAGGUACAAGACAGCAUUGAACCCCAUCAUAUUCCCAAGAUAAAGACACAUAAACGUAUUAAACCAGAAAUAUUACCGAAAAAGUUGACAUGUUUACACUGACCCACGGUAAGAUGGCGAACGCGAGACGGAGAAAAAUUCAAAAUCCAAAACUGCACUCACCUUUUUUCCCCUCCCCCGUUAUUUCCUUGCCACAAACGAUGAUCCAGCGUUGAUUUCGAUCACUAAUGAAUCUAUCGACGCACUUACAAACAACGUAACGAAGCGGAUUAACGUAAUAACAAGCGAUUUAAAUGAGCUAAAUUUCGCGGGUCCAGUGCACACACGUGGUGAUGGAAGAGGGGAGAGGGAGGGAGAGGUAUGGAGGGGGAGAAGGAGGGAGGGGGUAAAAAAAAGAGAAGGGAGGGCCAGAAAAGGGAAGAAAGGGAGAGAAACACGGAAUAAGGAACGAAACAGGAAGGAAUGGAAGAAAUAAGUGGGUAGGUAGCAAAUAUAAGAAGAUAUAAGAGAUGAAACUGACACCAUCUUCAAUAUAUUAACUGUUAACGAUAAUAUGGUAACUAGGGUAUGCUUGUUUGGUUGUGAAGUUCCGCGGCCCGCCACCAGAUGACUUGAGCACUAACCCACAUAAAUGCGAUGGACGUGAACGAAAUUAUAAAUGAAAUGAUGUAAAUAGGAAUGGUAAAACAGAGGAAUAGACAAUUAUAAAUGAAAUGAUGUAAAUAGGAAUGGUAAAACAGAGGAAUAGACGAGAGGAUGAUUAAUUAAUAGUCAGUGAAAUGGGUUUUAUAUAGCAUUGGAAGACGAAGAAAAGAAAGAAAGGAAUAAGUACAGAUAGAGAUAAUAAAGAUAAUAAAAGGAGUAAUAUAGACGAUAUGAUAACUAGUAAAUAGAAGGGGCUUUCAGAACGAGAGACGAGCAAAUAAAAAAAGAUAGAAAGA